CCUCAUUUGAAUCUGUAAAUAGUUAGAGGACCAACUUGAUGCCUCUGAAUAGUAACAGAUGCAAAUUGUCGACUAUGAACAGUUUGAGGGUAAAAUUGCCAUUUGAAAAUAGAUGAAAGGCUGAAUUGAAAAUUUUAGAAUAAACUGUUCAUGAAAUUUGGGUUGGAUCAGUCAGCACCAAUUAAGUCCUCUUUCUAUCAAUUACUUCCACUUUGAUCCUCAAGUAUUUGUCUGUGCAAUUGUAGUCUCCCUCUAUGAGAAUCUACAAUUAAGUCCUCCAUCUACUAAUUACUUUGAGUUUGGUCCUCAAACUAUUCCUUCUUCAUCGUCGCCGGCCGCCACAGCCUUUUUCCCUUCUUCUUCCUCCUCCUCGCAAAUUAGGAUUUUACGGAUGCCUGAAAUAGAAGCAGGACGUAGAAAGAGACGAAGAUGACUUUGUUGGCGGUGUCAAACUGUUUGAUUCAUACGGGAUUACAGGCUAAAAUCUCGAAAAGUCCUCCAGACAUUUUCCAUAACUCCCCUCUUCUCCUUCCCCUCACACCUUUCCACCAUGAAAGCCUCGAAGUUUUCGGCUCCGUCGUGGCCUCCGGUGGCUACAACGACACACCAUCUGUUUCGCGCGGGUCCAUCGCUAACAAUUAAAAAAUGAUCAGACGAUUGUGUAAGGAACAAAUCUCUUAAGACAAAGUCUCAAAAAAGGGUGUUCUUUAUGGGCGAUGACUUUACAAUUGGAAAUUAAAAACAGAAUGCCUCCAAGAGGCGCAAGUACACGAGUUACUGAAAGAAGUGUUUAAAUCUAAACUAGAAAAUUUAAAAUUACAUGUUCUCUGUUCGAGAGUUUUUUUAUUCGGUCCUUCUGCUCUAUGUCUUUUCUUCCUUUUAUACUCCCUGGAUGAUCUCUUUGUGAUCAACCGCCUAAAAAUUGCUUGAUCGUUCUAUAACUGCCCACUUUCCUCAUAAUGGCCAACUUGUCAUGGAACUCCCUUUUUUAACUGCUGCCAUUACUCUUCGUCGUUCAACCGUUUUCGAUUGAAUUCCUUGAAUCGUGGAAUGUGAUAGGUCUACUUAAUAAUUGCUUUGAUAACUGCACUUCUUGAUAACCACAACACUUCAUGUUUGCUAAGACCUUGGGAGGUUUGGGCGAGAAUAUAGUAGCAGUUCUGGGCGACUGCAUGGCACUCCAUUCGCUCAGGUCCUGGGCGAUUUACAAGCUUGGGCGAUGGUGUUACCACGCUCCUGGGCUUCCCUAUUUGGGCUUUCAUCCUGAAUUGUCUGAUUGGACUUCAUCCUUUGGGCUAUCUGAUUUGGGGAUCCUCUUAUUGGGCUUCAUUCCUUGGGCCGUUCGAUUUAGGCCGAAUUUUUAUGUGUCAACAAUUACUCCCCAAUAUGGCAGAAUUAAUACCAAUUAUUAAAUUUUGCCAUAUUCACUUUUGUGUUUCCAGCAACAUUCGAAAUUCCCAAGAAUUUCAAUCAUUAUUUUCUUCCAUAACUUUGAAAAGGUGCGACGUUUUGCAAACCCUUAUAACCCCCAAACAUGCCAUUUCAUUACACCAUUAAAUCACGCUUCACUUUUUCGCGUUUCUCUCCCGCAAUUAAUUGUUCAUCUCUUUGCUUCCCUACUACGUCACUCUGAAAAAACUCCAUUUCGUCCCUAAUGGCUACUUCACAGUCUCAAUCUGACGACUCCUUUAGUUUUGAUGACUUUCAGAAACUCCUUAAUCGUCCAUACAUAACUCCGAACUUUCUCGCAUCCGCCAAUGUCGAACUCAAUGAGUUCUACCUAGGUCCUUUCUUCAACAAUGCAGAGGUAGUCGAACAAGCGGCGGUGGGCCAACUGUUUCCUUGUACUCAAGGCCCUCCAUUUCUAAACUCUCUACCGCUAGGACCACUUCGCGAAAGAGGUAUCCGCACUUGGCCCAAAUAUGACGUAGUUUUCCGUAGGUGGCAUGCUCGCCUUGUGGACCAUGGUCCUACUAAGACGCUUUGUGAUAAUGCUAGGAUUUCUGAUUUGUUUAGAAAUCUCUCUUCAACCCCCUACUUUUGAUUCAGUACUUUUUUCGAUCGCUUUAAGUUUUUGGUCUUCUGAAUAUAAUACCUUUGUUUUCCCUCUUGGCCCCAUGUCUAUUACUUUAAGGGAUGUUGGGGCCCUAGUGAAUCUGUCACCUUUGGGCGAUACAAUUUUUCCUGGUAUCUUGGUUUCUGGUGGCGCCCCAAAGUUCAGUAAAACCCUCACCGAGUCUUAUUCAAGCCUGCAAACCCUUCAUAACCAUUCGAGCGCUGAGCCUUCCCAUACAGAGCGAGUGGCCUUUCUUCUGGUUUGGCUUUGUAAAUAUGUUUUGUGUGUGCCAAGCAUAAAGCCCUCCCUGAGUUAUUUACCCAUAGCGCGCGGCAGGCCUCUGAAUUUAUGUUCUUUCUUUUUGGCUGCCCUCUAUAGAGGUAUGGCCUCUCUUCAAACUCAAUUGAAGAAUGGUGCAUCUCCCACUGGCAGUGGACCUCUUUGGUUCACUCAAAUGUGGUUGAGAUCCUAUUUUUCAUUGCUUGGUGCUCCAUCAAUUUCUCGUCCUUCUGCUAGUUGCUAUGGGCUAGCCAUUGAGCCCCUGACUCCUAUAAAUAUGUCUAGAAUGGACAUUUUUUCAUUCUUUUAUUCUUUGGAUUCAAUCCCUUCCUUCUUUCCUUUUCCUCCCUUUUUGACUCCAGACUAUGUGCAUCCUCCCUCCACUAUAGACAGCGUGAGCAACUCUCUGCUCAUUUGGAUCCAGUUUUUAACCAGAAGGAAGUUAUUUCAUGAUAUUUUGACUGGGACCAAUGCCAAGGUGGGGGUAGAAAUACAUGCUCCCCAAUUUUUUGCUCGCCAACUUGGUUUCGGCUAAACCUGGCUUGUUCCUCCUUGCUAUUUAAGGAACUUGAUAGACCGCUUUCAUAUUAUUAAUAAGACGGAGGCAGAGGUUAUAAAUGCUCGCAAUCUUCUUUUGACAAGCCAUUUUUCAUUAGCCCCUUCAAUUUUAGCCGUGCCAUCCAUCCCCUUUUUGAACAGCUCUGGCCGUCAGUGAAGCACAGAUUGUUUGCGACUGAUGCCAAUCGUGCCUUUCAUUCACUGGAUCAGCCAAGCAUUUCUUCCCCUCCUCCUGUUUUAGUCACUCCUUUGUCCAUCCAGAAUCCUUCUCCUCUUCAUCGGGUUAAACAGUCUACUCGUCCAUCUUCUUCUCUCCCUGCCAAGCCUACUGCAGCCAAGAGUGCCCCAAGUCAUAAACGGCCAGCCUCAGCAUCUCCUAUCUUGGAGGAUGAUGUUGAUGAUGAUGAUGAUAUCCCUCUUAUCAUCAGGAGGAAGGUAAUUAAAUUGGUUUACUCACAAGCAUACUUUUUCAUACUUGAAUCCUUUCUGUAUGCUGAUGAUUUAUUUGGUCUUUUCAGAAAAGUUCAGCCUCUCCUUUAAAGGCUUUGGUAUCGGCAGCUCCUACUCCAUCAUCCUCCGCUGAGGCUACCUCAUCCAAACUAGCUGAUGAAGGGACUACGCUUAAAGAGACAUCUUCAGUCCUAGAAUCCUCAUCACAACCAAUGGACGAGCCACCUUCCUCCCAGGGCGUCAACCCCCCCAAACAUUGAAGCAGAAGGUAAUUCAGUUUUCUGAUGCUUUACCUUUUCUUGUGCUAUUGGUUUCUGAUUUGUUGCUUUUGAGUUCUGCAGAUGCUCCUAUGAGUUUGCCCGUUGUGGCAACAUCUUCUCGCUCAGACAAGGGAAAGUCUUCGCGAAUGGUGGAGCCACAGGUGGCAGCCUUGGCUGAAGAUAUGCCAUCUUCCAAGAUUAUUGAUGAGGUAAUCUUUGCUUCAUUUUUAUUUCCAUCUUGUUCGUUGUAGUGAGAAUCUUCAAUAUUGGCAAUUUUCUUUGCAGGAUGCUGAUAAGAUUGUGCGUUCCAUCCAAGACUUGUUCGCUUCCUGGAGGCAAGUCAAGACAUCUCGCCCUGCUCCAUCUGGUCGUCCUGCUACUUCUUCAGAGGAAGAUAUGAAGCUCCUCAAGCAGUCGAUAUUUGAGUACGUGUCCUUCAUGGAUAUGGACAUUGGUAAGGCUAGUGUUGCCAGGUAUAAGGAUAAGCUUGAGCGUCUGAAUGCGAAGUUGGAGCAAGCACUGACACUUCCGUCGCUCAACCUUUCUGCUGAUUUUAAAGCGACGUUGAAAGUUAUCCAUUCCGAGGUCCUCUCUUUGCUGGCCAAGAAUGUUGAACUGAAGGCAAAAAGUACUCAAUAUCUUCGCGCCGUAUCUGAAAAAGAGUCUUUACGUCUAGAGAUUAACAAAGCUGAGGACGAGUUGAAAGAAAUCUCUUCCGAAAUCAUGAUUGAAGACUCUUUGAUGGCUGGCUUGGCUGCUCAGAUGAAGGAACUUCAAGCCAAAAUGGACGACUGCAAGGCGAGAAUAGCUGCUAAAAAGCAUAACACCUCUCAGGGAAUUGAGCGAACUAAGUCUUUGGUCGAGCAGUACAAGAAGUUGGAAGUUGAUGAUGAUAUCGUGGCCGAAUUGAACAUCACUUCCUCUCGACAGAACGAGGAUUGAGAAAAACUUAGGGAACGAAUUCGUUCGAUAUGGGGUGGAUUGUAAUUAAAACAUAUGACGCCUUAACUUUUUCUUUUUGUAAUUUCGCAUUUGACUUUCCCCUUGUAACCUUGUUCAUCAUUAAUGAACGUAUAUGUUAACUUCUUGUGUAUUUAUUUGACGUUUGUCUUUUAAUCGCCAAUUCUUCAAGCAUUUAACUGCUUUGUGCUAAAAAUCUUGCACAUUUUCUUUUGAUAUUUCCACCUCUUUUCCCAAGACUUUGGGCUACUUAAUUCCAUUUACUAGGCAGAAUGUGGCUGCUCAUAUUCUGUCUCUUCAUCUCUACCCCCCUAUAAAUGUACGUAUGCUUCGUACUUUCCAUCUUCCAUCUUCAUUUUCAUUUUCUUUUUCGAAACCAAUUUGUUGUCAUUGUUUGACAUUCUGACAACCAAUCUAAAACCUUCGUCUUUUAUAAAAAUGCAUUGUUUGGUCUGCCCAUUUUACUAUUUGUCAUGAUGUCACCUUUGGUAUGGGAGGUAUAGGAAAUAUUAUUUGGCCAGCAGCAAAGUUUUUCCCAUCAAAAUUCUUUCCAUCGUCUCUUUGUCCUUUCAAGGAGUUCAAUGAUAGAAAGCAAUUUUUGAGAUGCUUGCGGGCCACCUUGCUUGCUGAGAGUGCUUCUCAGCCUCUUUGCCCGCAAUUGCAGCGAUGCAUUUAGGAAAGAGUACGAGGUCAGUCCACCCUCUUACUCGGCGGUCAACCGGGAGAUUAGCUUACUUUUAAUUUUAGCUUGUAGGGCAUCUAUUAUUUGUAUCUUGCAACUUUGUAAUGAACGUUUGAUAAUAAAGGACUUUAUUCGAACGUAUUUCGCUUUGACCUUGUUAUCUUUAAUCAUUCAACAUAUUUUGAUUACGCUUUUAUCUGUUCACUUUCCCAUAAAGAAGGAACAUAUUUUUUCAAAUAUUUGCCGUUAAUGAAUCUCACGUGCUUGGUGCCAUCUAAAUCUUCCAAAUGAUAUGCUCCAUUGGGUAACACACUGUUUACUUUGUAUGGUUCUUCCCAAUUGGGCGACCAUUUCCCGUACUUUGGAUCCUUGUUAUCCAAAGGGAGUAUUGUCUUCCAAACUAAUUCGUCCAAGCUGAACGACUUGGCUAUGACUUUUUUAUUAUAAAACUUAGCCAUUCUUUGUUUUUGAACUUGCAAUCUAUCUAAGACGUCCAACCCCAAUAAAUUUUGAAUUAGUGAUUCAAUAUACUCAUCAUCAUUUAACUUAUGUUGCAAGCACACUCUAAUUGAUUGCACGUUGAUUUCCAUAGGCAAAACGACCUCCUGUCCAUAAGUAAGUUGGAAAGGAGUAAUUUUGGUUCUUGACCGAGGUGAUGUUCUAUAAGCCCACAAGGCUUUAUUCAGACAUUCGUGCCAAUUUCUGGCAUUUUCAUCUAUCAUCUUUCUGAUUAUAUUUUUUAGAAUCUUAUUAGAAGAUUCUGUUUGUCCGUUGGAUUGAGCGUAAUAUGGUGUGGAGCUUACUAAUUUAACCCAAAACUCGCUCAAAAAUUUGUUCACUUGAUCUCCAUUCAAAGAUGUUCCGUGAUCUACUAUCAACGUUUGUGAAAUUUCAAAUCCAUAAAUGAUGUGAUCACGGAUAAGCUCUAUGACAUUCUUUUGGAUGAUCUCUUUCAAAGGUACCGCCUCUACCCACUUGGUGAAAUAGUGGGUUGCAACUAUAACAAAAGUAUGUUGCUUGGACGAUGGGGGAUAAAUCUUCCCUAUCAGAUCCAUCGCCCAACCCUUGAACGGCCAAUGUUUAAUAAUAGGUGCCAUAUCUCGUGCUGGCGCCGUUUGUAUUGGACCAUACUUUUGGCAUGCUAAACAACUCUUUCCGUACUGAACGCAUAAUUCUCCCAUCUUUAGCCAAAAAUAUCCACUCCUAAUAAUUAACCAUCUCAUCCUUUGGCUAGCUUGAUGAGCUCCACAUAUCCCUUUGUGCACCUCAGCCAUGAUCGUUCUGGCUUCUUGCAAACUUACACACUUUAGCAAUACACCAUCAGAGCGUUUCUUAAACAACUCUUCAUCUAUUAGUGUAUAGUUCAGCAAACAUAGCUUCAUUUUCUUACUAAUCCCUCUAUUAAGUUCUUUAAGGAACCUUUUAAUCUUUGUUCUCCAAUCCAUUGCAUCUCCAUCUUGUAUGCAGUGAAGUUCAAUCCUUCUCGCCCUUCUUUGGGUCACGGGCAAUAUGGUUCCAUACUCACAAGUAGACUUCCAAUUCAGAACCUUUGAAUACCCUGAGGCCAUUUGGGCCAACUCAUUUGCCAUGUCGUUAUAUAUCCUAUUAACGCAUUGAAGUUCUACUUGGUCGAAUUCUUCUAACAAUUCUUGGGCAAUCUCAUAUUAAUUUAUAAUGGAAUCACUUUGGCAUUUAAAAUCACCAAUCAAUUGGUGAAUUACCAAUUGAAAAUCGCCCCUAACGAUCACAUUUUUUACCCCCAUUUCUAUCAUUAGUUCUAGGCCUACGAUUAAAGCUUCAUAUUCGACCUGAUUGUUGGUGCACAUCCUGUCUAAAGUGAACGCGAACUUGUAGCAAAUCCCUAAAGGAUUAAUCAAUGCUACUCAUAUUCCUGCACCUUUAGAGGUUUUUGACCCAUCGAAAUACAACACCCAAGGUUUUAGCUCGAAUGAAUUGAUCUCUAAUUCAAUUUCUUCAGGCAUGUCAAGUCAUGGAUGAUCGGCUAGAAAGUUAGCCAAAGCCUGAUUUUUUACUGCCUUUUGAGGUAUAUAUUGUAUCUCGAAUUCUGAUAAAACUAAUAUCCAAAGGCCUACUCUUUGGUGUAAAAUAGGGCGCGAGAACAUAUACUUAACUAAAUUUACUUUAGAAAUUAAAUAAACAGUUACGGACCGUAAAUAAGCCUUUAAUUUUGUACAUGUGAAAUACAAUGCAAGACAUAAUUUUUCGAUAGCAGAGUAAUUACAUUCACAUUUCGUUAACCGUCUACUUAAGUAGUAAAUUGCCCUUUCUUCACCAAAUUGGUCUUCCUGUGCGACCAUUCCAGCUAUUGAUUCUUUUUCAGCAUCUUGUACUACCCUGACAGGUCCAUAGUUUCCUUCGUACAUGAACUUUUCCACCGAGUUUGCUUCUGCGACAAAAGGCCUAUGAUCGGUCUGUACCACCUCUGCUUCGCCUUUGUUAUUCCAAAAGAUCAAGCAUUGAUGGAGCAAUGAGGGUAUACAGCGAUUUCUGUGUAUCCAAUCUCUUCCUAGUAACACAUUAUAACUAGUAGGACCAUCUAUUAGAAAGAAGACUGUGGUCCUAGUAGUCGUCCCUAUAGUUAUGUCCAAUGGCAUAACUCCCUUAGCUGAAGUUGCUCCUCCAUUGAAACUCGUAAGGAUGACUUCUGUAGGAAUCAUGUCACCCUCUGUCUUUGCGAACUUCCUCAUCAUCCUAGAUGGAAUGGUGUUUAUGGCUGCUCCAUUGUCGACAAGCACUUUUGCCACAAGGAUGCCGUUAACUAGAGUUUUAACGUACAAUGGCCUCAAGUGUCUAGUCAAUUUCAUGGCUGGCCGUUUAAAAAUGACUUUUUCGGCAGCCUCUAUUUCUACUUCCUGCUUGUUUUCUGUCAAAUUAUCCCCCUGUGAUAAGUCGACGUGCAGCAUAUCGCGCUGAGCCUCUGUCUCCUGAAUUUACUUCUUACUGUUUUCUAAUACUUCCUCAUCAGUUACCCAACCUGUGGAAGGGGGCAUUAUUCUUGGAGGUGAUCCAUACUUUUCAGAGCGAGGCACUCUUUUCUUCCUGUUGGGUGUCCCGUACAGUACGUAGAAAUCGAAAGGACGCUCAGAUGGUUCUCUCAACAAGUCUACUUCGCGAACUCCCUCUCGAUGUAGUUGUUUCAACAGAGUAUUGUGCGAUACUCCUCUCCUUCUUCCUUCUGCUUCUAGGCCGAUUUCUUCUUCAAUGUCUGUCAUCCCAUCGUCUUCUUCAUCGUUGUAGGCCUCUCUAGAAGUCUAGCCUUUUUCACAUUCCAGCACGCAAGCCUCUCCUUCGUUAUCAUCCCUUUCUUCUUCUUCUUUUUCUUUAUUCUUGAAUUUAUUGGCUAGUAAGUAAUUAUUGGCCACGACAGAAGGCAAUGUACCGAACUGGAUAGUAAGGGGCUGAUCCGGAUCUUCUCCAUCCCUUCUGUCCCGCUCAAACUUUGAUCUCCCAGAAGAAGUUUCUGGCAGCUCUUUCAUUGGAUCAUCUGUACCGGUUUCUUCACUAUCCUUGAGAACAUUUUGAUUGGCUAUCUUGAGUAGUUUAGUCGCUUUAGGAUGUGGCAAUCCCUGUUGCUGCCUCAUCAUUCGUCCAUAGUUUCGUUGGAAACGCCUUUGUUGGGUUCUAGUCAUCUCAUCGAAGGGUAUUGCCCUUCCUGCAUUAUACUGGAACGAAUGUCAUACAUUUGGCCGGCGAGGUUGCGGCCUGAAUGUUCUCCCAUUAUCUGCUGGCCUGAAAUGCCUCUCAAAAGGCGGUCCUCUAUAAAAUGAUGUACCUCGCCCUCUACCUGACUGAGUGUUUGGGAAGAAAGUAGAGCGAUAGGGAUGCUGCCAUAUCCCUGAUUUCUCCGUGUUCCACUCACUUCUCUUUUACAUCUUGCACACAAGACGUCUUCGUCCUUUUUUGGUUCUUUCCCCUUGAUUCGUUCAAAGACGUUGGGAUGUGGUCUAGGGUCCUCUUCUCCAUCAUCUAUGACCAACUUGAAUUUUGGCAACUUGUUUUUGAAAUCAGAUGUAACCAUGUUCACUCCGAGUGGCUGUGAAAAAGGAUUUUCAUCCACUGCCAUCUUCUUCUUAUCAUUGAACGUAAUUCGUCCUUAUUCAAUGGCAUCCUGCAACACAUGGCAAAAAACCAAGCAAUUGUUAGUCAAAUGUGACCAUGCAUUAUGCUACUUACAAUAUUUUUUACCUUAAUUUGUUCAGGGUUUGGCAAUUUAUGCUUAUCGCUCGGCUUUAUCUGCUUAUCCCUAUAUAAUUUAUCAAAUAUAAGGUCAGCUUUGGUUACAUCGAACGAGAACGUUCUAGCCUUUAUGUUUCCAUAUUUCAUGGGCUCAUCUUUACUCGAUGGUCUAGGCUUGGCCAUUAUAGGACAAGUAUACGUAUCUCCUUUGACCAAUUCGGCCAAACAUAUUUCGGCUUGGUCGUAUGACUCGUCACUGAUGGUAUGAACGUCAAAAUUUAGGUCUUUAUAAUAAGUCCCUUUACUAAAAUUUUUCAUCUGCCCUUCUUCUCUUAUCAGUCGUUCAUACCUAAUCACAUUUGCACUCAACUGGAAAAGGUCAGGAAAUUCCUUGUCUUGGAAUUUCUUUUUUAAAUCAAAGCUCAAACAGCCCUGAGCGAUUUUGACGAAUUCUUUUUCGGGCAGAGGUACAAAACACUUGCUUCUUGCUGUCUUGAACCUUUGUAGAAAACUUUCUGCCCAUUCAUUUGGCAUUUGACGUAAAUUCGCCAAAUCAGCCAAAGUGACUUCAGACUCAGUUUUAUAAAACUGAACGUGGAAUAGCUGUUACAAUUGUUGCCAUGUUUGAACAGAGUUCGCUGGCAAGUUAAUGAACCAGGAGAAAGCUACUCUUGUUAAUGAACUAGGGAAAAGCCUCAUUUUAUGGUAAUCAGUUAUAUCACCACUUUGCAAUGUGAAUCGCCCUAUGUGUUCUAGAGUAGACACCUCUCCUAAACCGGUAAACAGUGAGAAUUCUGGCACUUUAUACCCUCUAGGCCAUGGAUAUGCUUGGUCUACCCAAUCAGGAUAUGGCUUUGUGUAAGUCGGCCUAAUGACAGGACGCAUCCCAAAAGCCAUCUGAUCCUGUACGAUUUUCAUAAUCUGAUUUCUCAACAUGACGUUGGGGUCAUAUGGAAUUCCUACAGGUUGGUUAACCGGUUGAUUUGCAUGAGGCCUGAUAUUUGGUCCUUGAUUGGCAACAAAGUUACCAUGAUUAGGGCUAUUACCAUUAGCUUGAACAUCUAUUCCCUCAUUAACACGUGGGGUAUUCUGUCCAUUAUUUAGAACAUUAUCUCUUACAUUUGGAUUACCCCCCAAGUUAGGCGUACCACUACCAUUAUUCUGAUUUGGCACCGCACCACCCCCCUUGGUUUGAAGUAGAGGGACCAGAAAGUGGUUCUACCCCUUGAUUCGGAUUUAGGACUGAGGGAUUAUGUCCCACAAUUGUCCUAGUUUGAAAGUGGUUUGCAAGAGGCAUAACCGGUUGACAUAUUUGGCCUACUAACUUAUUCAUUGUUUCGUUCAAAGUGUUUAGUUGUUUGGCCAUGUUGUCAUAAUGUGCAUUCUCAUUUUGAGUAAAUCUUUCCAUAUUAUGAAUACUUCGAAAAUUUACCUGUUCAACGACAUCUUGUGUGAGUUCUCCAAGUAGUGUACGCAUGGUUCGAGGACUCAACUCUAUCAUUAGUUCGUAACGACUGUUGCUGCUCUGAUUCUGUCCAUCUGUUCGUGGAGAGGCAUGCUGCUCCUCAUAUCGCUCGAUUAUAAACUGGAUUCCUUCCUGACUUACUGCUUCCUUAUCGGAUCUCUGAGGGAUAUUAUUUCACCUUUUGUAUUUUCAACACCAAACACCACUGUCUCACUGGGCGUGCCAAAUUGUUUCGCAUGGGUUCGUCGCUAACAAUUAAAAAGGGAUCAGACGAUUGUAUAAGGGACAAACCUCUUGAGACAAAGUCCAAAAAAGGGGAUGUUCUUUUUUGGGGAUGACUUUACAAUUGGAAAUUAAAAACAGAAUGCCUUCAAGGGGCGCAAGCACAUGAGUUACUGAAAGAAGUGUUUAAAUCUAAGUUAAGAAAUUUAAAAUUACAUGUUCUCUGUUCGAAAGUUUUUUGAUUCGGUCCUUCUGCUCUAUGUCUUUUCUUCUUUUUAUACUCCUUGGAUGAUCUCUUUGUGAUCAACCGCCUAAAAAUUGCUUGAUUAUUCUAUAACUGCCCACUUUCCUCGUAAUGGCCAACUUGUCAUGGAACUCCCUUUUUAACUGCUACCAUUACUCUUUGUCGUUCAACCGUUUUCAAUUGAAUUCCUUGAAUCGUGGAACGUGAUAGGUCUGCUUAAUAACUGCUUUGAUAACUGCACUUUUUGAUAACCACAACACUUCAUGUUUGCUAAGACCUUGGACGACUUGAAGGUUUGGACGAGAAUAGAGUAGCAGUUCUGGGAGACUAUAUGGCACUCCAUUCGCUCAAGUCAUGGGUGAUUUACAAGCUUGGGCGAUGGUGUUACCGCGUUCCUGAGCUUUCUUAUUUGGGCUUUCAUCCUGAAUUGUCUGAUUGAGCUUCAUCCUUUGGACUAUCUGAUUUGAGGAUCCUUCUAUUGGACUUCAUUCCUUCGACCAUUAUGUGUCAACACCAUCAAAGUCCAUGACCUCUCUUUCUUCGCCGAGAUCGGUUCCUCCAUCAGUCCUCUGCCAUCACCCAACUCUCCUUCUUCACCUCUCUCUCGUUCCCAUCCUUUCCCCGCAGUCUCCUACCCACUGAUGCCGACUGUUAUUUCUCCAUCUACGAUGCCGACCCUUUGUCCACCUCAGAAUUCUACGAAGUUCGCAAUAAAGGAGUCAUUUCACUCUUUUGUCCACCCCUCUGGCCGAAUAGCGUUGACAGUAGGUCACGUUUGAGUGCUUAGCCAUGGUCAAUUUGGUUAGAGGAAGGCGCAGUUUGUACUGCUGGUUAAGCAAAGAGUCAUCAAUUGUACAAUUCCAUGAAACAGGGGGGAAAUUCUUCAUGAUAGCUGAUGAGACAAUUAGUGUCCACGAGGUUAAGGACGCAAGAUUAAUUUUUUAACUCGAAAAUGGGAAGAGAGUUCUCUGUCCUGCCACUAGCAGGGUAUGAUUUCCAGGAUUUUGCUGUGGAUUUUCUUCAAUGUUAUUUUUGUCAUGCUGAUUGAAAACGUUUUUGGCAGAACAGGAUUUUAUUUACAGGGGUGAGGACAGAACUUGACUGCUUGGGAUACAGCUAGUGGGAAAAUGGCAUAGAGCAUUGGAGAUGCGCAUUCUACCCGUGUCAAAGGCAUUGUUGUCUUAUCAAAGAGCUGGGGUGGAGGAUCCGUACAUUGUGGCAUCGGCACUGUCUGAUGGUCUUGUACACAAUUGGGAUGUUCAGAUGGCUAACGAGGAGAAGAUGAGUCCACUAGCAGAGGCUAACUCCAGAUCCCGGCUCACUUGUCUUGCAGGAUCAUCUAUCAAAUGUGACUCGGAAUUUUGUUUGGUAUGAUUUUGAUCUCCUUUAAUUCUAGUCUUACUGUUAGAUUCAUUAGAUGGGUAUAUAUUCAUGUAGUUAGGCUCCCAUCGGUAGGUUUGUACUGUUAGUGUAAAAAACUUUCCAGCAGAAAAAUUUCCCAAUGAGAAGUUAAAAAUUUCGAUUCAGUGGGCUUAUGAUGCACCGACAGUCAUAUUUUUAACCUUAUACCAAAAGGGUUGGCAAUGGAGACACCAAAAGAUUGUCAAAUCAUGAGGACACAAAACUCUUAUUGUAGUAUAUUAAGCUUGUUAAGAAAGAGAAGAGGCUGGACCUUUGUUAUCAGUCCAGCUAUACGCCUACCUGCUGCUAACUACCGGAAGAUGCCUCUCUUCUUUUCGGACGUGUAUGUGGAAGAGUUGUUAUGCAAUAGAAGAAAAGAAAAACUCGUAUCCCAACUCUAUAAGUUUGCAUAUCCAAUUAGUAGAUUUACAAUAUGAUCUUCCUCAUACUAAAAGAUUUCAGGGAAGAUCUGUACUGUUGUCACAGCAAGUCUUGGUCCUUGGUUGAAUUUAUUUUGACAUCCAAACUAGCUAAACAGAACCAAAAUUGAUGGACUAUUCUUAUAUCUGAAACUUCCAGAGGAUUGUGUAUAGUCCCAAAAUGUAGGACUCUAAUCAUGGAUUACAGACGAAGACCUUUGAACUUUGGGGACAAUAUGCUUGAGUUUUUUGUUUCAGAAGAUGAAGCUGAAACGAUGCAGAGUGAGGAUGUUGAUAAAUUCUUUGGAGACAGGGACAGAGAAUCAUUUGUGCGGGGAUCCUUUUCCUCUUCAUGAAUUGUGUCCAAUAUCUUUGAUGCUCGAUGCCUCAUAAGGUUUACAAACUGUGGGGGUGCUACUUCGAUUAUAAAUCUAGAGAGGCGAGCAUUUGCCAUUCUCUUAAAAACCUUUGAGAAUCAAAAGAUGGAAGAAUGGGUAGAAGUGUGUGUGAAGAGAUUUCUGGCUAUGUGAACAAGUAGGAACUUCGACUGCUUCAAAUUUAUAGGGGGACGCUUGUGCUGAAUUCUAAUAACUGGAUGAGAAUAUAGUUUAAUUGUCAGGCUUAAAUGAACUCAGUGGUCCUAAUCUAAUUGUUAAAUGAUUUUAAGAUAGUUGUGCUGCUCUUACUUUUCGUAUUUAUAGUGACAACAAUGUUCACUAUGAAUGUUAAUAUGUUGCCUUAUUAGUAGGAUAGCAGUGGAGCCCAAUAUUGUCCAUAUGGUACCAUGUGUCUCUAUGGAUAGAAUAUGCAUAUCCCUUGAGAAAUUUUCUUUUUGUUGGUAUCAGAUCUUCCAAUUAUGCACUUUCCAGAGUUUGAUUGGAAGCUGCCUUUAAAUGCCAACUGUCAGUUGAUAACCAUUAAACGGAUCUAUCAGGUAAUUGUUAGAUGGUAAAAAGUAAGUCUGUUUGGCUCACUAAAUAUAUUGAUUUUCAGCAGGAAAAAAAAAUUUAUAAAAAGAUAGUGAUAUUCCUGUGCAAAAGCUGGGGGUUUGAAUACUCAUAAGGUUUCCUUGCAUAGAUUACCCAUAACAGCUGAAUUCACAAUUUAAAAAUAGAUAAUUAAAUGUUUCAGUGAGAUUACACAGGUGUUGAUUGUUACAUAUUGGCAGAGCUUAUUCUCGAUGUUUAGAAAGGCAUGCUCAAGCACUAAGUCGUUCUUCUUGAGGUGAGGCAUAUGCCUCAAGGUGAUUUGAGGCGUAAGCCUCAUGGUAAAGAAAAUAUCAAAAUUAUUGAAUGCACAAUAAGCUCAUAAUACAUCAUAAAUACCUCUGUAAUGACUCCAUUUGGAGUUUUCCCUCCCUCGUCCAGAUACCUCUGCAAAUUUAGGUAUCAAAAAGUCUAGCUCAUUUGUUGACUUGUCACUGAGCAUCUUCUUUAUGUAUCGACUAAUAUUAAUAUAGUGUCUAUUGAAAGCUCAUAGCAUGUCAUCCCCAUCUACAAAAGUUCAUUGACCUACCGUAACUUAUUGUAAUGUUGUCUAAUUGAGUAUUUUUUUAAUCACCCAAGGGUUUAACCCUUUUUUCUUCUUCAGAUGAUGCUUAGCACCAAAAAAUUGCUCAAUAACGAUUGAGAAUUUGUGAAAUGAUUGUGUUUGGCCAUCUCUCUUUUCUUUAUUUAGGCUCAUUUCGCCUAGUGCUUGAUUAACUUUUUGGGCCACCUUCCUAACACAAUCCAUAUCCACUAAUUUCACUAAUUGCUCUUCUAUUAUCUUCCCUAGAAUGAGCCCAUUAUCAAUGCCCUCCUAACCUCCUUCCACAUCUCGUGAUGAAGCAUCAUACCUGACUCGUUGAGGAAUUUUUUUCUAUCACGGUGUGCCCUUGCCUCCAUGAUAUCAAUUGAUAGGUAGCUGCCACGGCUGCUGAAAUUCCACUAGAUCCAGCUGAUAUUGAUAAUCAUGUGGCUUGCAAUACUUCUCCUUCUCCUUCUCCUCCUCCUCUGCGAUGGUGACUAUUCUUUCUCUGUCCUCCAGUUCCCUGUCUUCUAGUUCACCACCCCAAGGCUCACAUACUGGAAUUUCAUCAAUAAUUGAGAUAUCUUCUGGUGAAAUUAAUUCCACAUCAAACACUUCAAUUCUUCCCAUCUUCAUAGUUGAUCUGCCUACUGAUACCAAUUCCAUGUUUCACCAUCAAAAUAUGCUAUGGCGGCAUUUAUUUUCUCUGCCUCUGAUAACUGAUUUCUGGAAAAGAUUUUCCUCGCCUUCAACACCUACCAAUCUGUAUUUUCUUCAUGGAAAUUUGAUAUUUUUAGCCGACCAUGAGAAUCCAGCCUAGAAUCCUUUGCUCAGUCUCUUCCUAUGCGUUGCAUAAUCAUCUAAUAAAAUCUAUUGAAUAAAGAGCUCCAUUUCUCCUCCGAUUUUGCCACCAAUCUAUUGAAUAAUAUCUCCAUUUCUCCUCCAAUCUAUUGAAUAAUAUCUCAAAUUCAGACAUUUUGCCACCAAGAUGUUGUAGUUCCUAUAUCUUUUCCUGUUCGUGUCAAUACUAUCAAGCAAUUUUUUUUCUAAUCCAAGUUCAAGUACUCCACAUAAAAAGCAUAAAAGAUCCUUUAAAUGACAUCAUGUUGGGAUAGGAAUUGAUGCUUCUUAUGGUGAUUUUCUGCCUUGUGCUCUGUGUUUGUAUCCUCUAUCACAGGAAAACCAGAUCAAAUGAAGCCUCUUCGAAUGAUAGGCAGGGGAGAAAGCUGUGGAAAUUACAGGAGCAUAUCCUAGAUAAAGUUGCUGGAAUUGAGGAAAUGCUGAAAAUAUAUUCAUUUGGAGAAUUGGAGGCAGCUACUGGAAACUUUUGUGCAAAGAAGAAGCUGAGUAAUUCUAUUCAUCAUGGGGUUCUUCAUAGAAAUUAGUAGUCCUAAAAAAGACGAGAUGCAGACAUGACAAAGGAGAUUGAAAUUCUAAGGUCAAUCACUUUAAUUUGAUAUGUCUAUAUGUUGGGAAUCUACUUAAUCAUUCGCAACGGAGAAUAAAAUAGAUUUCAAUUCCCGUCAAGGAUCUCUUUGUGUUUAAAUAUAAAUUGUGAUAGAAAAUGUACAUUUGAAGAGAUCUGUAAAUUUUUUGCUUUUUCUUUGUUCCAGAAAUAUCAAGAUGCCACCCAUACAUGUCCAAUUUAUCCAGCCUCCAAUUAUAAUUUACACAGAGAAACAGAUUGUACAACUAGAGUUUUCUUGUGUUAGCAAGAAUAAUAAAUUUUUUCUACGGAUCCAAAACCCUAGCUACCUAUUUAUACAAAGCCAAACGGGCUUGGCCCAUCUCCUAACCCGAUCAAAGAUUUAAUUAACUCAUUUAAUUAAAUUCAAUCCACGAACUAAUUAAUCCAAUUAAUUAAUUCGAACCAAUAAAUAAGUACCCCAAUUAAUUAAUUUAUCCAAAGCUUGUUAAAUUAAUUAAUUGGUAAAACACAAUCUUCCAAUUCUUCUUUUGUGUGUGACCCAUCAGGUUCCUAAUCACGAUGCCUAGCGAUGUAAAUUAUUAUUUUGAUCUAAUUAAAAUUGAUAAAUUAAAACAUCAUUUUAAUUUAUCACUUACUCAUGUUCACUGUCUCAAAUUGACAUCUACCAAUGUGUUAGGGCAAUACAUGUGAUGGAAAAUAUCACGUGGUAUGACAAAAUCAAACUCGUUUGUUUGCUGUGAAACUAUAAUCCCUUCGUCAAUAUGAUCCGAUCAAUUACAAGAUAUGAAAGUGUGUCAAUCCUAAUUAUCGAUCAUAUCUUUUAUUGCACUAUUAAGUUAAUAUAAGUAGAACACUCCUUUUUGACUUCUGAGUACACCCUGACCAAGGAUUUCGUUUCGACUUAAUUGAUGAAAUGUGGAUCAUAAUUUCUUACUAUCUAAGUGAAGAAUCAUCUAUUGGUCAUUCACAAUUUUCAUACGAUUUUUGACAUACUCGAACAAUGUUGUAUUAACGGCUCUUGGCAGAGCAACAUCCAAAACCGUUAAAGUAUGACUGUCCUUAGAUAAAGCACCAUGAUGACCUCAAGUCUUUGGACCAAUACCACUACCAAACGUUAGGGAUUAACCACUGACACUCAGAUAGUUAUUCAUAAUGGGUCUCCAAUAUUUUGUUCUAUAAUAAAAUAUCCACGUGUUCAUUAAAAUGUCACAACACUUUAAUUUAUGAGAUUAGUUACUUAUUUCACAAGUAAGAGACGCCACACGUGGUGGUUUAUCUGUAAUAACGAUAUUCAUAUCUCGUCAUUACUUAUGACUACGAAUGAUUUAAGAUUCAAUCAUAUGUAAUUUGUAUCUCACAAUCACAACUCCUUAUGAUUAACAAAUUACUAAGAUUUGAAUCUACAGACUAUAUUAUUUAAUUCAAUUGAAUAUUAAUUAAAUAAUAGAUCAAUCAUAAAUCACAUCAACUAUAUAUUAAAAGUGUUUAUAUCCAAAGUCGAUUAGACCUAGGGCAUAACACUUGCAGUGAGCACGAUGAAGAUUUUUGUCUUGUGUAUGAGAAUUGUUCACAUGUUCAGAGCUGGAAUUACUUGAUUAUUAUCACUUUAGAUGUUAAUGGCCUACAUCCAACAUAUGUGCACAAGGACAUUAACAGUUGUAACAUAUUACUCAACGGUGAUCUCAGGGUCAAGAUUGCCAAUUUUUCAAUUUGGCAAGAUUAGCCCAAAGGAAGAGAAAUGAAAAUUCGAUUACAAGUUAUGUUCUUGGAGCAAAAGCUUACAUGUAGACUAGGAGUGGCGGAUCCAAUACCCAACUAGCACCGAGGGCCGCGCAUGCUAGAUCCACAAGGAACAAAUUUUUUAUUUGAUUAACAAAAAAAAAACAAUUUUAGGUUAUAUAUUGAUAUUCCUUUUAUUUUCAUAGAUCUCUUGUGGCUCAGUAGGUUAAAGUUUGUAAGUGGAGGUCUAGGGAUUGAAUCACUUCCUAACCAAUUAUUGCACAAUUUUUCUAGUUCCAUAAGUUUUACCAAAAUUAUGCGAUGGGUAGGGGAUUCGAACCUGUGACCUUAAGUUAAGGUUACUGAAAGCUUAACCACCAUCUAAUCACUUCCUAACCAAUUUUAUUUUACAAUUUUUAUAGUUCUAUAAUUUGGUAGAAUCACUUCCUUACCAAUUUUAUUGCACAAUUUUUCUACUUCUAUAAUUUUUACCAAAAUUGCAUAAUGGGUAGGGGAUUCGAACGUAUGACAUUUAAUUAAGGUUAUUGAAAGCUUAACCACCAUGGCACUUGUUGAAUUACAACAUUAAAUGUAACAAAAUAAUAUAUAUUUUGUUUUAGUGGUUUUAAUGCAGCUGUAAGGAUGGAUUAGUGGUUUUAAUGCAGCUGUAAGGAUUCCAUCCCAUCCUCUUCCUUCGAAUUAUACAAAAUCUAGUCACUAUGUCAUUUGAUAAAAUAUUGUUAACAUGUACAUGUUCAGUUUUAACAAAAUAAUUAUUAUAUUUAAUUUUUAAUAUUUUAUUACGGUCGAUGGUCAACAGUUAAUGACCGAUCGUGUUCACUCAAAAUUCUGGAUCUGCCACUACUUAUACGACAGGGUUGUUCUGUUAGAACUGAUGGUGUAAAGAGGUUGUCUUCAUGGAGAUGGAGGAGAGUUUUUAUUUCAAAAACAAUACUGUUAGCCAUGGAUGGAACAAAGCAAAUGCUGUAAAUAAGGACCUAAUCGAUCCUUGCCUCCAAGUAAAGUAUUCUCUUGGUUUUAUCAUAGAUCAAACUGAAAACUGAUUUGAGCAUGGCUAAAGUAGUUUCGGCUUUGGUGAAGAUCCAGUUAGAUGUCCAGAGAAAAGUAUUCAGAUUGAAAAUCUCGAAGUAUUAAUUUGGAUCGGAGCCUCAUUUGAGUCUGUAAAUAGUUAGAGGACCAACUUGAUGCCUCUGAAUAGUAAAAGAUGCAAAUUGUCGACUAUGAACAGUUUGAGGGGUAAAAUUGCCAUAUAAAAAUAGAUGAAACAUUGAAUUGAAAAUUUUAGAAUAAACUGAGGAUACAUUCGUCUCAUUUAAUUAGUUGGAGGACCGUGUUUUAGCCUUGAAAUAGUUGUGGUACCAAAUUGUCGCCUAUGAAUAGAUAUAGGACUUGAAUUGGGAACGUGCAUUAGUUGGUGGACUAAAUUAUACACAAAGAAUAGUUAAAAGACCAAUAGGACAAAUUGGUAGGAUUUUGAUUGUUGGAUUUGGAUAUGGUGGAAUUUGGGUUGGAUUUGGGUUUGAUGGAAAUUGGAUUGGCUCUGAUUGUCAGAUUAGGGUUUGGUGGAAAUUGGUUUGAAUUUGGGUCGGAUUAGGGUUGGAUUUUCAUUGUUGGAUUUAGGUUGGAUUUUGUUGUUGAAUUUGGGUUUGAUGAAAUUUGGGUUGGAUUUUGAUUGUUAGGUUUGGGUUUGAUGGAAUUUGGGUUAGAUUUUCAUUCUUGGAUUUCGGUUUGGUGGAAUUUGGGUAAUAGGGUUGGAUUUGGGUUUGGGUUUGAAGGAAUUUGGGUUGGAUUGUUAUAGUUCCAUUUGAAUAUUGGAUUUGGAUUUGGGUUUGGGUUUGAUGAAUUAGGUUGGACUUGUGUCUGAUGGAAUUUGGGCUUGGCGCAAGUUCGGUUGGAUUUUGAUUGAUGGAUAUGGGUUUGAUGGAAUUCGGGUUGGAUUUUAUUGUUGGAUUUGGGUUGAAUUUUGAUAUUGGAUUUGGAUUAGGGUUUGAUGAAUUGGGUUGGAUUUUGAUAUUGGGUUUGGGUUUGGUAAGUUCGGGUUGGAUUUUGAUUUGGGUUUGAUGAAUUGGGUUGGAUUUUGAUAUUGGAUUAAGAUUUGGGUUUCAUGAAAUUUGGGUUGGAUUUUAAUUGUUAGGUUUCGUGGAUUAAAUAUAGCCAUCAUCCAACGUCGACAUAUUCAUUCUCCAACUAUCAGUCAGCACCAAUUAAGUCCUCCUUCUAUCAAUUACUUCGACUUUGGUCCUCAAAGUAUUUGUCUGUGCAAUUGUAGUCUCCAUCUGUUAGAAUCUACAAUUAAGUUCUCCAUCUACCAAUUACUUCGACUUUGGUCCUCAAACUAUUCCUUCUUCAUCGUCGCCGGCCGCCACAGCCUGUCUCCCUUCUUCUUCCUCCUCCUCCUCCCAAAUUAGGGUUUUACGGACGUCUGAAACAGAAGCAGGACGUAGAAAGAGAUGAAGAUGACUUUGUUGGCGGUAUCAUACGGUGCGAUUCAUACGGGAUUACAGGCUAAAAUCUCGAAAAGACCUCCAGACAUUUGCCCUAACUCCCCUCUUCUCCUUCCCCUCACACCUUUCCACCAUGAAAGCCUCGAAGUUUUCGGCUCCGCCGUGGCCUCCGGUGGCUACAACGACGCCAUUAAAGCCUAUGACCUCUCUUCCUUCGUCGAGAUCGGUUCUCUCCAUCAGUUCUCUGUCAUCACCCCACUCUCCUUCUUCACUUCUCCCUCGUUCCCAUCCUUUCCCCGCAGUCUCCUACCCACUGAUGCCGACUGUUGUUUCUCCAUCUACGAUGCCGACCCCUUUGUCCACCUCAAAAUUCUACGAAGUCCGCAAUAAAGGAGUCAAUUCACUCUUUCGUCCACCCCUCUGGCCGAAUAGCGUUCACAGUAGGUCGCGAUUGAGUGCUUGGCCAUGGUCAAUUUGUUUAGAGGCAGGCGCAGUUUGUGCUGCAGGUUAAGCAAAGAGUCAUCAAUUGUACAAUUCCAUGAAACAGGGGGAAAAUUCUUCAUGAUAGCUGAUGAGACAAUUAGUGUCCACGAGGCUAAGGACGCAAGAUUAAUUUUUUAACUCGAAAAUGGGAAGAGAGUUCUCUGUCCUGCCACUAGCACAGGAUGAUUUCCAGGAUUUUUCUGUGGAUUUUCUUCAAUGUUAUUUUUGUCAUGCUGAUUGAAAACGUUUUUGGCAGAACAGGAUUUUAUUUAAAGGGGUGAGGACAGAACUUGACUGCUUGGGAUACAGCUAGUGGGAAAGUGGCAUAGAGCAUUGGAGAUGCGCAUUCUACCCGUGUCAAAGGCAUUGUUGUCUUAUCAAAGAGCUGGGGUGGAGGAUCCAUACAUUGUGGCAUCGGCACUGUCUGAUGGUCUUGUACACAAUUGGGAUGUUCAGAUGGCUAAUGAGGAGAAGAUGAGUCCACUAGCAGAGGCUAACUCCAGAUCCCGGCUCACUUGUCUUGCAGGAUCAUCUAUCAAAUGUGACUCGGAAUUUUGUUUGAUAUGAUUUUGAUCUCCUUUAAUUCUAGUCUUACUGUUAGAUUCAUUAUAUGGGUAUAUAUUCAUGCAGUUAGGCUCCCAUCGGUAGGUUUGUACUGUUAGUGUAAAUAACUUUCCAGCAGAAAAAUUUCCCAAUGAGAAGUUAAAAAUUUCGAUUCAGUGGGCUUAUGAUGCACCGACAGUCAUAUGUUUUACCUUAUACCAAAAGGGUUGGCAAUGGAGACACCAAAAGAUUGUCAAAUCAUGAGGACACAAAACUCUUAUUGUACUAUAUUAAGCUUGUUAAGAAAGAGAAGAGGCUGGACCUUUGUUAUCAAUCCAGCUAGACGCCUACCUGCUGCUAACUACCCAAAGAUGCCUCUCUUCUUUUCGGACGUGUGUGUGGAAGAGUUGUUAUGCAAUAGAAGAAAAGAAAAAUUCGUAUCCCAACUCUAUAAGUUUGCAUAUCCAAUUAGUAGAUUUACAAUAUGAUCUUCCUCAUACUAAAAGAUUUCAGGGAAAAUCUGUACUGUUGUCACAGCAAGUCUUGGUUCUUGGUUGAAUUUAUUUUGACAUCCAAACUAGAUAAACAGAACCAAAAUUGAUGGACUAGUCUUAUAUCUGAAACUUCCAGAGGAUUGUGUAUAGUCCCAAAAGGUAGGACUCUAAUCGUGGAUUACAGACAAAGACCUUUGAACUUUGGGGACAAUAUGCUUGAGUUUUUUGUUUCAGAAGAUGAAGCUGAAACAAUGCAGAGUGACGAUGUUGAUAAAUUCUUUGGAGACAGGGACAGAGAAUCAUUUGUGCGGGGAUCCUUUUCCUCUUCAUGAAUUGUGUCCAACAUCUUUGAUGCUCGAUGCCUCAUAAGGUUUACAAACUGUGGGGGUGCUACUUCAAUUAUAAAUCUAGAGAGGCGAGCAUUUGCCAUUUUCUUAAAAACGUUUGAGAAUCAAAAGAUGGAAGAAUGGGUAGAAGUGUGUGUGAAGAGAUUUCUGGCUAUGUGAGCAAGUAGGAACUUCGACUGCUUCAAAUUUAUAGGGGUACGCUUGUGCUGAAUUCUAAUAACUGGAUAAGAAUAUAGUUUAAUCGUUAGGCUUAAAUGAACUCAGUGGUCCUAAUCAAAUUGUUAAAUGAUUUUAAGAUGGUUGUGCUGCUCUUACUUUUCGUAUUUAUAGUGACAACAAUGUUCGCUAUGAAUGUUGAUAUGAUUGCUUUAUUAGUAGGAUAGCAGUGGAGCCCAAUAUUGUCCAUAUGGUGCCAUGUGUCUAUAUGGAUAGAAUAUCAUAUCCUUUAAGAAAUUUUAUUUUUGUUGGUAUCAGAGCUUCCAAUUUUGCACUUUCCCAGAGUUUGAUUGGAAGCUGCCUUUAAAUGUCAACUGUCAGUUGAUAACCUAUUAAACGGAUAUAUCAUGUAAUUGUUAGAUGGUGAAAAGUAAGUCUGUUUGGCUCACUAAAUAUAUUGAUUUUCAGCAGGAAAAAAAAUUCAUAAAAAGAUAUUGAUAUUCCUGUGCAAAAGCUGGGGGUUUGAAUACUCAUAAGGUUUCCUUGCAUAGAUUACCCAUAACAGCUGAAUUCACAAUUUAAAAAUAGAUAAUUAACUGUUUCAGUGAGAUUACACAGGUGUUGAUUGUUACAUAUUGGCAGAGCUUAUUCUCGAUGUUUAGAAAGGCAUGCUCAAGCACUAAGUCGUUCUUCUUGAGGUGAGGCAUAUGCCUCAAGGUGAUUUGAGGCGUAAGCCUCAUGGUAAAGAAAAUAUCAAAAUUAUUGAAUGCACAAUAAGCUCAUAAUACAUCAUAAAUACCUCUGCAAUAUUUUAGGUGAGCUUCUACGUAAUGACUCCAUUUGGAGUUUUCCCUCCCUCGUCCAGAUACCUCUGCAAAUUUAGGUAUCAAAAAGUCUAGCUCAUUUGUUAUCUUGUCGCUGAGCAUCUUCUUUAUGUAUCCACUAAUAUUAAUAUAGUGUCUAUUGAAAGCUCAUAGCAUGUCAUCCCCAUCUACAAAAGUUCAUUGACCUACCGUACCUUAUUGUAAUGUUGUCUAAUUGAGUAUUUUUUUAAUCACCCAAGGGUUUAACCCUUUUUUCUUCUUCAGAUGAUGCUUAGCACCAAAAAAUUUCUCAAUAACGAUUGAGAAUUUGUGAAAUGAUUGUGUUUGGCCAUCUCUCUUUUCUUUAUUUAGGCUCAUUUCGCCUAGGGCUUGAUUAACUUGUUGGGCCACCUUCCUAACACAAUCCAUAUCCACUAAUUUCACUAAUUGCUCUUCUAUUAUCUUCCCUAGAAUGAGCCCAUUAUCAAUGCCCUCCUAACCUCCUUCCACAUCUCGUGAUGAAGCAUCAUACCUGACUCGUUGAGGAAUUUUUUUCUAUCACGGUGUGCCCUUGCCUCCAUGAUAUCAAUUGAUAGGUAGCUGCCACGGCUGCUGAAAUUCCACUAGAUCCAGCUGAUAUUGAUAAUCAUGUGGCUUGCAAUACUUCUCCUUCUCCUUCUCCUCCUCCUCUGUGAUGGUGACUAUUCUUUCUCUGUCCUCCAGUUCCCUGUCUUCUAGUUCACCACCCCAAGGCUCACAUACUGGAAUUUCAUCAAUAAUUGAGAUAUCUUCUGGUGAAAUUAAUUCCACAUCAAACACUUCAAUUCUUCCCAUCUUCAUAGUUGAUCUGCCUACUGAUACCAAUUCCAUGUUUCACCAUCAAAAUAUGCUAUGGCGGCAUUUAUUUUCUCUGCCUCUGAUAACUGAUUUCUGGAAAAGAUUUUCCUCGCCUUCAACACCUACCAAUCUGUAUUUUCUUCAUGGAAAUUUGAUAUUUUUAGCCAACCAUGAGAAUCCAGCCUAGAAUCCUUUGCUCAGUCUCUUCCUAUCCUUUGCACAAUCAUCUAAUAAAAUCUAUUGAAUAAAGAGCUCCAUUUCUCCUCCAAUUUUGCCACCAAUCUAUUGAAUAAUAUCUCAAAUUCAGACAUUUUGCCACCAAGAUGUUGUAGUUCCUAUAUCUUUUCCUGUUCGGGUCAAUACUAUCAGGCAACGUUUUUUUCUAAUCCAAGUUCAAGUGCUCCACAUAAAAAGCAUAAAAGAUCCUUUAAAUGACUUCAUGUUGGGAUAGGAAUUGAUGCUUCUUAUAGUGAUUUUCUGCCUUGUGCUGUGUCUUUGUAUCUUCUAUCACAGGAAAACCAGAUCAAAUGAAGCCUCUUCGAAUGAUAGGCAGGGGAGAAAGCUGUGGAAAUUACAGGAGCAUAUCCUAGAUAAAGUUGCUGGAAUUGAGGAAAUGCUGAAAAUAUAUUCAUUUGGAGAAUUGGAGGCAGCUACUGGAAACUUUUGUGCAAAGAAGAAGCUGAGUAAUUCUAUUCAUCAUGGGGUUCUUCAUAGAAAUUAGUAGUCCUAAAAAAGACGAGAUGCAGACAUGACAAAGGAGAUUGAAAUUCUAAGGUCAAUCACUUUAAUUUGAUAUGUCUAUAUGGUGUCUAUAAGUGUUGGGAAUCUACUUAAUCAUUCGCAAUGGAGAAUAAAAUAAAUUUCAAUUCUCGUCAAGGAUCUCUUUGCGUUUAAAUAGAAAUUGUGAUAGAAAAUGUACAUUUGAAGAGAUCUGUAAAUUUUUUGCUUUUUCUUUGUUCCAGAAAUAUCAAGAUGCCACCCACACAUGUCCAAUUAUCCAGCCUCCAAUGAUAAUCUACACAGAGAAACAGAUUGUACAACUAGAGUUUUCUUUUGCUAGCAAGAAUAAUGAAUUUUUUCUAUAGAUCCAAAACCCUAGCUACCUAUUUAUACAAAGCCAAACGGGCUUGGCCCAUCUCCUAACCCGGUCAAAGAUUUAAUUAACUCAUUUAAUUAAAUUCAAUCCACGAACUAAUUAAUCCAAUUAAUUAAUUCGAACCAAUAAAUAAGUACCCCAAUUAAUUAAUUUAUCCAACGCUUGUUAAAUUAAUUAAUUGGUAAAACACAAUCUUCCAGUUCUUCUUUUGUGUGUGACCCAUCAGGUUCCUAAUCACGAUGCCUAGUGAUGUAAAUUAUUAUUUUGAUCUAAUUAAAAUUGAUAAAUUAAAACACCAUUUUAAUUUAUCACUUACUCACGUUCACUGUCUCAAAUUGACAUCUACCAAUGUGUUAGGGCAAUACAUGUGAUGGAAAAUGUCACGUGGUAUGACAAAAUCAAACUCGUUUGUUUGCUGUGAAACUAUAAUCCCUUCGUCAAUAUGAUCCGAUCAAUUACAAGAUAUGAAAGUGUGUUAAUGCUAAUUAUCGAUCAUAUCUUUUAUUGCACUAUUAAAUUAAUAUAAGUAGAACACUUCUUUUUUACUUCUGAGUACAUCCUGACCAAGGAUUUCGUUUCGACUUAAUUGAUAAAAUGUGGAUCAUAAUCUCUUACUAUCUAAGUGAAGAAUCAUCUAUUGGUCAUUCACAAUUUUCAUACGAUUUUUGACAUACCCAAACGAUAUUGUAUUAAAGGCUCUUGGUAGAACAACAUCCAAAACCGUCAAAGUAUGAUUGUCUUUAGAUAAAGCACCAUGAUGACCUCAAGUCUUUGGACCAAUACCACUACCAAAUGUUAGGGAUUAACCACUGACACUCAGAUAGUUAUUCAUAAUGGGUUUCCAAUAUUUUGUUCUACAACAAAACAUUCACGUGUUCAUUAAAAUGUCACAACACUUUAAUUUAUGAGAUUAGUUACUUAUUUCACAAGUAAGAGACGCUACACGUGGUGGUUUAUCUGUAAUAACGAUAUCCGUAUUUCGUCAUUACUUAUGACCACGGAUGAUUUAAGAUUCAAUCAUAUGUAAUUUGUAUCUCACAACCACAACUCCUUAUGAUUAACAAAUUACUAAGAUUUCAAUCUACAGACUAUAUUAUUUAAUUCAAUUGAAUAUUAAUUAAAUAAUAGAUCAAUUAUAAAUCACAUCAACUAUAUAUUAAAAGUGUUUAUAUCCAAAGUCGAUUAAACCUAGGAUAUCGAUUUAACCUAGGGCAUAACACUUGCAAUGAGCACGAUGAAGAUUUUUGUCUUGUGUAUGAGAAUUGUUCACAUGUUCAGAGCUGGAAUUACUUGAUUCUUAUCACUUUAGAUUUUAAUGGCCUACGUCCAACAUAUGUGCACAAGGACAUUAACAGUUGUAACAUAUUACUCAACGGUGAUCUCAGGGUCAAGAUUGCCUAUUUUUCAAUUUGGCAAGAUUAGCCAAAAGGAAGAGAAAUGAAAAUUCGAUUACAAAUUAUGUUCUUGGAGCAAAAGCUUACAUGUAGACUAGGAGUGGCGGAUCCAAUACCCAACUAGCACCGAGGGCCGCGCGUGCUAGAUCCACAAGGAACAAAUUUUUUAUUUGAUUAACAAAAAAAACAAUUUUAGGUUAUAUAUUGAUAUUCUUUUUAUUUUCAUAGAUCUCUUGUGGCUCAGUAGGUUAAAGUUUGUAAGUGGAGGUCUAGGGAUUGAAUCACUUCCUACCCAAUUAUUGCACAAUUUUUCUAGUUCCAUAAGUUUUACCAAAAUUAUGCGACGGAUAGGGGAUUCGAACCUGUGACCUUUAGUUAAGGUUACUGAAAGCUUAACCACCAUCUAAUCACUUCCUAACCAAUUUUAUUUUACAAUUUUUAUAGUUCUAUAAUUUGGUAGAAUCACUUCCUUACCAAUUUUAUUGCACAAUUUUUCUACUUCUAUAAUUUUUACCAAAAUUGCAUAAUGGGUAGGGGAUUCGAACGUAUGACAUUUAAUUAAGGUUAUUGAAAGCUUAACCACCAUGGCACUUGUUGAAUUACAACAUUAAAUGUAACAAAAUAAUAUAUAUUUUGUUUUAGUGGUUUUAAUGCAGCUGUAAGGAUUCCAUCCCAUCCUCUUCAUUCGAAUUAUACAAAAUCUAGUCACUAUGUCAUUUGAUAAAAUAUUGUUAACAUGUACAUGUUCAGUUUUAACAAAAUAAUUAUUAUAUUUAAUUUUUAAUAUUUUAUUACGAUCGAUGGUCAACAGUUAAUGACCGAUCGUGUUCACUCAAAAUUCUGGAUCUGCCACUACUUAUACGACAGGGUUGUUCUGUUAGAACUGAUGGUGUAAAGAGGCUGUCUUCAUGGAGAUGGAGGAGAGUUUUUAUUUCAAAAACAAUACUGUCAGCCAUGGAUGGAACAAAUGCAAAUGCUGUAAAUAAGGACCUAAUCGAUCCUUGCCUCCAAGUAAAGUAUUCUCUUGGUUUUAUCAUAGAUCAAACUGGAAACUGAUUGAGCAUGGCUAAAGUAGUUUCGGCUUUGGUGAAGAUCCAGUUAGAUGUCCAGAGAAAAGUAUUCAAAUUGAAAAUCUCGAAGUAUUAAUUUGGAUCGGAACCUCAUUUGAGUCUGUAAAUAGUUAGAGGACCAACUUGAUGCCUCUGAAUAGUAACAGAUGCAAAUUGUCGACUAUGAACAGUUUGAGGGGUAAAAUUGCCAUAUAAAAAUAGAUGAAACAUUGAAUUGAAAAUUUUAGAAUAAACUGAGGAUACAUUCGUCUCAUUUAAUUAGUUGGAGGACCAAGUUUUAGCCUUGAAAUAGUUGUGGUACCAAAUUGUCGCCUAUGAAUAGAUAGAGGACUUGAAUUAGGAACGUGCAUUAGUUGGUGGACUAAAGUAUACACAAAGAAUAGUUAAAAGACCAAUAGGACAAAUUGCCGUUUGAGAAUAGUUGGAGGACCGAAUUUGGGUUUGAUGGGUAGGAUUUUGAUUGUUGGAUUUGGAUACGGUGGAAUUUGGGUUUGAGGAAAUUGGAUUGGCUUUGAUUGUCGGAUUAGGGUUUGAUGGAAAUUGGACUGGCUUUGAUUGUCGGAUUAGGGUUUGAUGGAAAUUGGUUUGAAUUUGGGUCGGAUUAGGGUUGGAUUUUCAUUGUUGGAUUUUGUUGUUGGAUUUGGGUUUGAUGAAAUUUGGGUUCGAUUUUGAUUGUUAGGCUUGGGUUUGAUGGAAUUUGGGUUAGAUUUUCAUUCUUGGAUUUCGGUUUGGUGGAAUUUGGGUAAUAGGGUUGGAUUUGGGUUUGGGUUUGGGUUUGGGUUUGAAGGAAUUUGGGUUGGAUUGUUAUAGUUACAUUUGAAUAUUGGAUUUGGAUUUGGGUUUGGGUUUGAUGAAUUGGGUUGGACUUGUGUCUGAUGGAAUUUGGGCUUGGCAAUUUGAUUGAUGGAUAUGGGUUUGAUGGAAUUCGGGUUGGAUUUUAUUGUUGGAUUUGGGUUGAAUUUUGAUAUUGGAUUUGGAUUAGGGUUUGAUGAAUUGGGUUGGAUUUUGAUAUUGGGUUUGGGUUUGGUGAGUUUGGGUUGGAUUUAGAUUUGGGUUGGAUUUUAAUUGUUGGGUUUCGUGGAUUUUAAUAUAGUCAUCAUCAGACGUCGACAUAUUCAUUCUCCAACUAUCAGUCAGCACCAAUUAAGUCCUCUUUCUAUCAAUUACUUCGACUUUGGUCCUCAAAGUAUUUGUCUGUGCAAUUGUAGUCUCCAUCUAUUAGAACCUACAAUUAAGUCCUCCAUCUACCAAUUACUUCGACUUUGGUCCUCAAACUAUUCCUUCUUCAUCGUCGCCGGCCGCCACAGCCUGUCUCCCUUCUUCUUCCUCCUCCUCCCAAAUUAGGGUUUUACGGACGCCUGAAGCAGAAGCAGGACGUAGAAAGAGACGAAGAUGACUUUGUUGCGGUAUCAUACGGUGCGAUUCAUACGGGAUUACAGGCUAAAAUCUCGAAAAGACCUCCAGACAUUUGCCAUAACUCCCCUCUUCUCCUUCCCCUCACACCUUUCC
rnacentral:lncRNA from 1 species